GUGGUAAGACAGACAUAACUUGCUUUUUUUUUUUUUUGGUAGGAGACUAUGACUUGCUUUCAAUACCAUCUUGCUUGCAUUAGAAUUCUUCAAAUUUUCAAUAGCUAAUUUAUAAUUUGCAUUAUAACCAGGUGUUGAACCCAUCAAAAAGUUCUGGCAUAUGAAGAGACAAACAGUUGGACCCGAGGAUGUACUUGGAGCCU
rnacentral:lncRNA from 1 species